CCUACGUGGUGCAGCAGUGGGGAAUAUUGGACAAUGGGCGAAAGCCUGAUCCAGCCAUGCCGCGUGUGUGAAGAAGGCCUUCGGGUUGUAAAGCACUUUCAGUGGGGAAGAAAGCCUUGGGGCUAAUACCCUCGAGGAAGGACAUCACCCACAGAAGAAGCACCGGCUAACUCCGUGCCAGCAGCCGCGGUAAUACGGAGGGUGCGAGCGUUAAUCGGAAUUACUGGGCGUAAAGCGCGCGUAGGCGGUCUGAUAAGCCGGUUGUGAAAGCCCCGGGCUCAACCUGGGAACGGCAUCCGGAACUGUCAGGCUAGAGUGCAGGAGAGGAAGGUAGAAUUCCCGGUGUAGCGGUGAAAUGCGUAGAGAUCGGGAGGAAUACCAGUGGCGAAGGCGGCCUUCUGGACUGACACUGACGCUGAGGUGCGAAAGCGUGGGUAGCAAACAGGAUUAGAUACCCUAGUAGUC
rnacentral:rRNA from 1 species